rnacentral:misc_RNA from 1 species
UUAAGUUCAGCGGGUAUCCCUACCUGAUCCGAGGUCAACAUUACUGCUUUCCACAGUAUGGGGGUCCAAUGGCAUGGAUUCUGACCAGCAUACAAACUGAUUUAGCAUCUUAAAAUACUCUGAAAGUCUGUUACUAUGGUCUACAGUUCCGGCCUAUUCAUUCCAGCAGAGUGGGACCAGCAAUGCCAGCCCUACCCACU